AGAGUUUGAUCAUGGCUCAGGAUGAACGCUGGCGGUCUGCUUAACACAUGCAAGUCGAACGCAACCUUUCGGGGUUGAGUGGCGGACGGGUGAGUAACGCGUGAGAAUCUGCCUUUAGGUCCGGGACAACCACUGGAAACGGUGGCUAAUACCGGAUGUGCCGCAACGUGAAAGGGGAAACCCGCCUGAAGAUGAGCUCGCGUCUGAUUAGCUAGUUGGUGAGGUAAAGGCUCACCAAGGCGACGAUCAGUAGCUGGUCUGAGAGGAUGACCAGCCACACUGGGACUGAGACACGGCCCAGACUCCUACGGGAGGCAGCAGUGGGGAAUUUUCCGCAAUGGGCGAAAGCCUGACGGAGCAAGACCGCGUGAGGGAAGAAGGCUCUUGGGUCGUAAACCUCUUUUGUCAGGGAAGAACACAAUGACGGUACCUGACGAAUCAGCCUCGGCUAACUCCGUGCCAGCAGCCGCGGUAAUACGGAGGAGGCAAGCGUUAUCCGGAAUUAUUGGGCGUAAAGCGUCCGUAGGUGGCUAGUCAAGUCUGCGGUCAAAGACUGGGGCUUAACCCUGGAAAGGCCGUGGAAACUGACGAGCUAGAGUGCAGUAGGGGUAGAGGGAAUUCCCGGUGUAGCGGUGAAAUGCGUAGAGCUCGGGAAGAACAUCGGUGGCGAAAGCGCUCUACUGGACCAUAACUGACACUCAGGGACGAAAGCUAGGGGAGCGAAUGGGAUUAGAUACCCCGGUAGUCC
rnacentral:rRNA from 1 species